CGUCCUCUUCGUCUCUAUCAUAACAACAUUAGAUCUUGAGGAUUUAUUCUGAAUCGGUGAAAAAGAGGUGAUGAUGCUUAUCAACACCAACUGAAAACCAAGAUUCAUCUAAGCAAACUGAAUUGAAAGGCACUAAAGAAGUAGAAAACUCCACCACCAUCUUCAAAUCCAACUAAAACUAAUGGAGGCAAACAAAAGAAGAAGAUCAUAAUUGGUUCUUCUUUUAUGUUGGAUUUAGGUCUUUUACUGUACUUUUUAUUGAUUUGUUUUUGUUUUGUGUGAUUUUUACAGAAGUGGAGCUAAUGAAAGAAAAAUGAGAAGGUUAACCAACAUGCUCAUGUUUGAUAAAGAUAGGAUUUAACCUGUGGUUUUGCUUUGACAUCAAUAUGAUAAAGUGUGCAUUAGCAUUAAUGAGUCAUUCAAAUUGGCGAAAACGCCUUGCUUUUGAUCAUUUCAUGGGUGGUCCAUUAGCCUGAUAAAGCAAUUAACUAUUUGACAUCAUCCCUGUUGGAACUAGAGAAGAACACCUCACCCUGUUGUCUUGUUAUCCAAAUAUCAGUUGGCCCCGUUGUGUACAUAGAUGGAGUAGAUGCUGGACAUGGUGGAAGUGAUGGCGUCCAUGGAUACAUGUAUUCCCUUGAUGUUGCAGUCAAUGACUUG